CCUACGGGUGGCAGCAGUCGGGAAUCUUGCUCAAUGGGGGAAACCCUGAAGCUGCAACGCCGCGUGGAGGAUUAAGGUUUUCGGAUUGUAAACUCCUUUUGUUAGAGAAGCUAAUGACAGUAUCUAACGAAUAAGCACCGGCUAACUCCGGGCCAGCAGCCGCGGUAAUACGGAGGGUGCAAGCGUUACUCGGAAUCACUGGGCGUAAAGAGCGCGUAGGCGGGAUAGCAAGUCAGAUGUGAAAUCCUAUGGCUCAACCAUAGAACUGCAUAUGAAACUGUUAGUCUAGAGUAUGGGAGAGGUAGGUGGAAUUCUUGGUGUAGGAGUAAAAUCCGUAGAGAUCAAGAGGAAUACUCAUGGCGAAGGCGAGCUGCUAGAACAUAACUGACGCUGAGGCGCGAAAGCGUGGGGAGCAAACAGGAUUAGAUACCCUUGUAGUC
rnacentral:rRNA from 1 species